rnacentral:rRNA from 1 species
CUACGGGCUGGCUCCAGUGGGGAAUAUUGCACAAUGGAGGAAACUCUGAUGCAGCAACGCCGCGUGGAGGAUGACACUUUUCGGAGCGUAAACUCCUUUUAUAUAGGAAGAAGAUGACGGUACUAUAUGAAUAAGCGCCGGCUAACUCCGUGCCAGCAGCCGCGGUAAUACGGAGGGCGCAAGCGUUACUCGGAAUCACUGGGCGUAAAGAGCGUGUAGGCGGAUUAAAAAGUCAGAAGUGAAAUCCUAUAGCUUAACUAUAGAACUGCUUCUGAAACUCUUAAUCUAGAAUAUGGGAGAGGUAGAUGGAAUUUCUGGUGUAGGGGUAAAAUCCGUAGAGAUCAGAAGGAAUACCGAUUGCGAAGGCGAUCUACUAGAACAUUAUUGACGCCGAGACGCGAAAGCGUGGGGAGCAAACAGGAUUAGAUACCCCGGUAGUC